GGGUCGGUAGCUCAACUAGGCAGAGCAGCGGGCUUUUAACCCGAAGGUUGUGGGUUCGAUUCCCACCCGACCCA
rnacentral:tRNA from 1 species